AGAGUUUGAUCAUGGCUCAGAACGAACGCUGGCGGCGUGCUUAACACAUGCAAGUCGCGUGCGCAGUUUCCGUAGCAAUACGGGGAUGGGCGCACGGCGCACGGGUGCGUAACACGUGGGCAAUCUGCCCUCCGAUGGGGAAUACCCCCGCGAAAGCGGGACUAAUUCCGCAUAACAUUCCUUGGAUUAACUUUCGAGGAUUCAAAGCAGCAAUGCGUCGGAGGAGGAGCCCGCGCCCGAUUAGCUAGUUGGUGAGGUAACGGCUCACCAAGGCAAUGAUCGGUAGCUGGUCUGAGAGGAUGGCCAGCCACACUGGAACUGAGAUACGGUCCAGACUCCUACGGGAGGCAGCAGUGGGGAAUCUUGCACAAUGGGCGAAAGCCUGAUGCAGCGACGCCGCGUGGGGGAUGAAGCUUUUCGGAGUGUAAACCCCUUUCGACUGGGACGAAUGCCUCGCAAGAGGAGUGACGGUACCAGUAUAAGAAGCCCCGGCUAACUACGUGCCAGCAGCCGCGGUAAGACGUAGGGGGCCAGCGUUGUUCGGAAUUACUGGGUGUAAAGGGUUCGUAGGCGGUGUGGCAAGUCGGGAGUGAAAUCUCUGGGCUCAACCCAGAGACUGCUUCCGAAACUGCUGUGCUUGAGUGUGAGAGAGGCUCGUGGAAUUGCAGGUGUAGCGGUGAAAUGCGUAGAUAUCUGCAGGAACACCCGUGGCGAAAGCGGCGAGCUGGAUCACUACUGACGCUGAGGAACGAAAGCUAGGGGAGCAAACAGGAUUAGAUACCCUAGUAGUCC
rnacentral:rRNA from 1 species